rnacentral:tRNA from 1 species
UUAGCUAAAGCCAAAAAGAGGCAUUUUAUUGUUAAUAAAAAAAAUGGAUAUUCAUCCUAGCUAAA